AUUGAACGCUGGCGGCAUGCUUUACACAUGCAAGUCGAACGGCAGCGCGGGCUUCGGCCUGGCGGCGAGUGGCGAACGGGUGAGUAAUACAUCGGAACGUGCCCAGUAGUGGGGGAUAGCUCGGCGAAAGCCGGAUUAAUACCGCAUACGACCUGAGGGUGAAGGCGGGGGAUCUUCGGACCUCGCGCUAUUGGAGCGGCCGAUGGCAGAUUAGCUAGUUGGUGGGGUAAAGGCCUACCAAGGCGACGAUCUGUAGCUGGUCUGAGAGGACGACCAGCCACACUGGGACUGAGACACGGCCCAGACUCCUACGGGAGGCAGCAGUGGGGAAUUAUGGACAAUGGGCGAAAGCCUGAUCCAGCAAUGCCGCGUGUGUGAUGAAGGCCUUCGGGUUGUAAAGCACUUUUGGCGGGAACGAAAAGGACUGUGCCAAUACCACGGUUCGAUGACGGUACCCGCAGAAUAAGCACCGGCUAACUACGUG
rnacentral:rRNA from 1 species